rnacentral:rRNA from 1 species
UACGUAGGGUGCGAGCGUUAAUCGGAAUUACUGGGCGUAAAGCGUGCGCAGGCGGUUCUGAAAGUCAGCUGUGAAAGCCCCGGGCUUAACCUGGGAAUGGCGGUUGAAACUACAGGACUUGAAUCUGGCAGAGGGGGGUGGAAUUCCACGUGUAGCAGUGAAAUGCGUAGAUAUCGUAAGGAAGACCAGUGGCGAAGGCGGGUCUCUGGACAGUUCCUGACACUGAGACACGAAGGCCAGGGGAGCAAACGGG